GACGAACGCUGGCGGCGUGCCUAAUACAUGCAAGUCGAGCGGAUGACGGAGGAGCUUGCUCCUCCUGAUUCAGCGGCGGACGGGUGAGUAACACGCGGGCAACCUGCCCUGUAGAUUGGGAUAACUCCGGGAAACCGGGGCUAAUACCGAAUAAUCCUUCGGACCUCAUGGUCCGAUGUUGAAAGACGGCAUCUCGCUGUCACUACAGGAUGGGCCCGCGGCGCAUUAGCUAGUUGGUGAGGUAACGGCUCACCAAGGCCACGAUGCGUAGCCGACCUGAGAGGGUGAUCGGCCACACUGGGACUGAGACACGGCCCAGACUCCUACGGGAGGCAGCAGUAGGGAAUCUUCCACAAUGGACGAAAGUCUGAUGGAGCAACGCCGCGUGAGUGAAGAAGGUUCUCGGAUCGUAAAACUCUGUUGUGAGGGAAGAACAAGUACCGGAGUAACUGCCGGUGCCUUGACGGUACCUCAUUAGAAAGCCACGGCUAACUACGUGCCAGCCGCCGCGGUAAAAC
rnacentral:rRNA from 1 species